UGACUCUAAAAAUAACACACACACAUAUACAUAUAUAGAUAUAGAUAUAUAGAUAUGUAUUCAUACAUUUAAUUUGAAAAGUCAAGAGGGGUACUGGUUUUAGACUCAAUAAGAUUUAUGAAGUAAGUCUUUAUUUAAGAAUUAAGUGUCUGAAUUCCCCAAAUAUCAUCAACUCAAUCAUUCCUUCCUUCCACAAACAUGAGCAAAGAAACACACUCAAAUGUUUAUGUCUAUUUAUGCCCUCAAAUAGGUAUACAUUAAAACAUGGAAAGGGCACAAUGACAGAAGAUACCUACCCAAAGCAUUCUGAAUAGGAAAAUAAUUAUUUAUAUGGGUGAAGAAACCCCAGUCAAUCAGCCAACAGCUUCACUCUUAUGUAGAUCUUGAUGGCAUGUUAUGGCUGUCCAGCUGACACAAGGUAACAACUAAAACAUAAAGAUUGGUCAUUAAGAUGGUUUGGAAAACUUGCCCAGUAAAGAAGUGGAUACUAUCCAGUCAUCCUGAGAAAGCUGUCUGUUGUUUUGGAGAGAGAAAGUAGUGGCACGACUUGGGACUGGAGGACAGGAGCCAGUUGGAAGCAGAAACACAAAUGAAGAUGAGAGAAGAUUCCGAAGAACAUGUUUUUUUCCCCCUCUGUGGCUUUAAGAAAAACCAUUGAAAGGUGCCCUUCCCAAGGAGAACUUAAGAAGGAGAUAAGGAGGUGCCUAAAGAGAGGGGGGUCCUGUUUUCUCUACCACAGGAACUCUGGCUUUGUCUUCAGUGAGUGAACAAUGAGGGAUGACACCCAUCAGAACACAUCAAAAUGUCCUGAGUCAGAGAGGCCACUCACUGAGAGGAGCUCAGAGCCAAGGGCUUGUCCCUCACUGAGUCGUUUAGCAUGAUCACAAGCACAGCAGUUUUAAAAGAAUUCUAUUUUUAAAAUUAAAUGUAAUUAAAAUUUUAGAAGAAGCCUCUCA